UUCGAUCAUGGCUCAGAUUGAACGCGCUGGCGGAUGCUUUACGUACAGGGUGAACGGCAGCACGGACUUCGGUCUGGUGACGAGAGUGGCGAACGGGUGAAGGUAAUGUAUCGGAACGUGCCUAGUAGCGGGGGAUAACUUCGCGAAAGCGUAGCUAAUACCACAUACGCCCUUCGGGGAAAGCGGGGGACCUUCGGGCCUCACCGCAUAUUAGAGCGGCCGAUAUCAGUUAGCUAGUUGGUGGGUAACGGCUCGCAAGGCGACGAUCCGUAGCUGGUUUGAGAGGACGACCAGCCACACUGGGACUACAGAGACACGGCCCAGACUCCUGCAGGGAGGCAGCAGUGGGGGUACGGACAAUGAAACCCUGAUCCAGCCAUCCCGCGUGUGCGAUGAAGGCCUUCGGGUUGUAAAGCACUUUUGGCAGAAAGAAACGGCACGGGAUAAUACCCCGUGCAACUGACGGCCACCUGCAGAAUAAGCACCGGCUAACUACGUGCCAGCAGCCGCGUGGCCACGUAGGGUGCAAGCGUUAAUCGGAAUUACUGGGCGUAAAGCGUGCGCAGGCGGUUCGGAAAGAAAGAUGUGAAAUCCCAGAGCAGCAGCUGCAUUUUUAACUACCGAGCUAGAGUGUGUCAGAGGGAGGUGGAAUUCCGCGUGUAGCAGUGAAAUGCAUGGAAUGUGCGGAGGAACACCGAUAGCGAAGGCAGCCUCCUGGGAUAACACUGACGCUCAUGCACGAAAGCGUGGGAGCAAACGGGAUUAGAUACCCUGGUAGUCCACGCCCUAAACGAUGUAUCAACUAGCUGUUGGGGCCUUCGGGCCUUGGUAGCGCAACUAACGCGUGAAGUUGACCGCCUGGGAGUACGGUCGCAAGAUUAAAACUCAAAGGAAUUGACGGGGACCCGCACAAGCGGUGGAUGAUGUGGAUUAAUUCGAUGCAACGCGAAAACCCUACCUACCCUUGACAUGUCUGGAAUCCCGAAGAGAUUUGGGAGUGCUCGCAAAAGAGAACCGGAACACAGGUGCUGCAUGGCUGUCGUCAGCUCGUGUCGUGAGAUGUUGGGUUAAGUCCACUGUAGAAGCGCAACCCUUGUCAUUAGUUGCUACGAAAGGGCGCUCUAAUGAGACUGCCGGUGAUCAAGGUGGGGAUGACGUCAAGUCCUCAUGGCCCUUAUGGUGGGGCUUCACACGUCAUACAAUGGUCGGGACAGAGGGUCGCCAACCCGAGGGUAAUCCCAGAAACCCGAUCGUAGUCCGGAUCGCAGUCUGCAACUCGACUGCGUGAAGUCGGAAUCGCUAGUAAUCGCGGAUCAGCGUGUCGCGGUGAAUACGUUCCCGGGUCUUGUACACACCGCCCGUCACACCAUGGGAGUUGGGUUUUGAAGUAGUUAGCCUAACCGUAAGGAGGGCGAUUACCACGGUAGGAUUCAUGACUGGGGUGAAGUCGUAACAAGGUAG
rnacentral:rRNA from 1 species